GGCGGCGCACGCACAGCUGCCGCCCGCAGGGCCUGCCCUGAGGAUGCUCGAUCGCAGCCAACUGGUCGACCCCCACUCACUCAGCUUGUUUCCCAAACUAGCUUCGGGGACGCUUUCUUCAAAGAGAAAGCCAAGGAUGUCAAAAGGCCUGGGAAGCAACUGCUCUUGUUUAUGGUCAAUGCAAGGUAUCGUGCAAAACACCUGAGAGAACAAGGUUUCUGUUAGGCUCUGGAAAAGGCAACCCAAGAAAGAGGUAGACUGCUUCUAAUAAAGGAAGAAUUGUAGCCCC
rnacentral:lncRNA from 1 species